AGCAGCCGCGGUAAUUCCAGCUCCAAUAGCGUAUAUUAAAGUUGUUGCAGUUAAAAAGCUCGUAGUUGAAUUUUGGAUUCUGCCAGUUGGUCCAUCUUUUGAUGAGUACUGAUUGUGUGGGGUCUAUCCGCCUGGUGAUACGUAAUGUACUUUAUUGUAUGUUACGGGUAGUCAGGACCUUUACCUUGAAAAAAUUAGAGUGUUUAAAGCAGGCUUAUGCCGGAAUACAUUAGCAUGGAAUAAUAGAAUAGGACGAAGUUGUUUUAUUUUGUUGGUUUUCUAGGACAACCGUAAUGAUUAAUAGGGAUGGUUGGGGGCAUUAGUAUUCAAUUGUCAGAGGUGAAAUUCUUGGAUUUAUUGAAGACUAACUACUGCGAAAGCAUUUGCCAAGGAUGUUUUCAUUAAUCAAGAACGAAAGUUAGGGGAUCGAAGACGAUCAGAUACCGUCGUAGUCUUAACCAUAAACUAUGCCGACUAGGGAUCGGGCGAUGUUGUUUCCAUGACUCGCUCGGCACCUUAU
rnacentral:rRNA from 1 species